AAAAGAACUUUGAAGAGAGAGUUCAACAGUACGUGAAACCGCCUAGAGGUAAACGGGUGGAUCCGCAAAGUCGGUCCGCGAAAUUCAGCUCGGAAGGCCGGUCGCAGGCGGUAAGUCGAGAUCUCUUGCGGACUCUCUUGCCGCUUGUACGCUGGCUUGACGUGUGCACUUUUCGCGGGCAGAGCGCCACGACCGGUUUUCGGGCAGUCAGAAGGCGGCGAGGAAGGUAGGUGGGCGCUUCGGCGUUUGCUGUUUUAUAGCCUCGCCUGUCCCGAUCUGCUCGAAGACCGAGGAGCCGCCGCUUGGCCAACGGGCUAUCCUGCUCUCCUUGGGGGGUUCGACAGGCAGAGACUGGGAAACCGUGUCUGCCGACCGCCCCUCUGGACGGACGGGGGUGCUUUCAGUCCGGCCAAUAGCAUAGGGUCGGUGGCGAAUCGGUCGGCACUCCACCCGACCCGUCUUGAAACACGGACCAAGGAGUCUAACAUGCGCGCGAGUCGUUGGGUAGUACGAAACCCGAAGGCACAGUGAAAGCGAGGGCCGUCCUUGCGACGAGCUCAGGUGGGAUCCUGCGCUCUAACCGGCGCUAGGC
rnacentral:rRNA from 1 species